rnacentral:rRNA from 1 species
CAGUCGCCACGGGAAUACGGAGGGAGCUAGCGUUGUUCGGAAUUACUGGGCGUAAAGCGCACGUAGGCGGCUUUGUAAGUUAGAGGUGAAAGCCUGGAGCUCAACUCCAGAAUUGCCUUUAAGACUGCAUCGCUUGAAUCCGAGAGAGGUGAGUGGAAUUCCGAGUGUAGAGGUGAAAUUCGUAGAUAUUCGGAAGAACACCAGUGGCGAAGGCGGCUCACUGGCUCGGUAUUGACGCUGAGGUGCGAAAGCGUGGGGAGCAAACAGGAUUAGAUACCCCUGUAGUCCCUGUCUCUUAUAC